UGUCGGCUGCUUUGUUGAGC
rnacentral:siRNA from 1 species